rnacentral:rRNA from 1 species
AUUGAACGCUGGCGGCAGGCCUAACACAUGCAAGUCGAGCGGUAGAGAGGUGCUUGCAUCUCUUGAGAGCGGCGGACGGGUGAGUAAUGCCUAGGAAUCUGCCUAGUGGUGGGGGAUAACGUUCGGAAACGGACGCUAAUACCGCAUACGUCCUACGGGAGAAAGCGGGGGAUCUUCGGACCUCGCGCCAUUAGAUGAGCCUAGGUCGGAUUAGCUAGUUGGUGAGGUAAUGGCUCACCAAGGCGACGAUCCGUAGCUGGUUUGAGAGGAUGAUCAGCCACACUGGAACUGAGACACGGUCCAGACUCCUACGGGAGGCAGCAGUGGGGAAUAUUGGACAAUGGGGGGGAACCCUGAUCCAGCAAUGCCGCGUGUGUGUAGAAGGCCUGAGGGUUGUAAAGCACUUUCAGUGGGAGGAGGGUUGAUAGGUUAAGAGCUAAUUAACUGGACGUUACCUACAGAAGAAGCACCGGCGUAACUCCGUGCCAGCAGCC